rnacentral:rRNA from 1 species
GACAGAGGGUGCAAACGUUGCUCGGAGUUACUGGGCGUAAAGCGCGUGUAGGCGGCUGGUCAAGCGUGGUGUGAAAUCUCCGGGCUCAACCCGGAAACUGCAUUGCGAACUGACCUAGCUGGAGUGCAGGAGAGGGCAGCGGAAUUCCCGGUGUAGCGGUGAAAUGCGUAGAUAUCGGGAAGAACACCAGUGGCGAAGGCGGCUGCCUGGCCUGUAACUGACGCUGAGACGCGAAAGCGUGGGGAGCGAACCGG